UGGGGAAUAUUGCACAAUGGGGAAACCCUGAUGCAGCGACGCCGCGUGAACGAAGAAGGUAUUCGUAUCGUAAAGUUCUGUCCUAUGGGAAGAUAAUGACAGUACCAUAGAAGAAAGCUCCGGCUAAAUACGUGCCAGCAGCCGCGGUAAUACGAAUGGAGCGAGCGUUGUCCGGAAUUAUUGGGCGUAAAGGGUACGCAGGCGGUUUAAUAAGUCGAAUGUUAAAGAUCGGGGCUCAACCCCGUAAAGCAUUGGAAACUGAUAAACUUGAGUAGUGGAGAGGAAAGUGGAAUUCCUAGUGUAGUGGUGAAAUACGUAGAUAUUAGGAGGAAUACCAGUAGCGAAGGCGACUUUCUGGACACAAACUGACGCUGAGGUACGAAAGCGUGGGGAGCAAACAGG
rnacentral:rRNA from 1 species